rnacentral:lncRNA from 1 species
GAAAAAGAACGAUUACCUACCCCUCCUGAGUUUAUUGCUACCGUUCCCAAUUUCGAAGGGGCUAGUGAAGAGACCUUUGGAGGCUCUCAUCCCUCUCAAUCCUUGAGAGCAAAUAUUAACUCUUUUGAAACUCAAACAAAUUUACACACACACAUUAACAGAGAAAAGAACGGAAAUCACUUUAGAACUAAGGGGAAGGAAAAAAAAAUUUAGGGGAGCAAAAGAAAUCAAUCUGGUCUCGCUCAAGCUUAGCCGCACAUCUUUUGAUUUUGUCGCCGACAAAGCCAUCUCACAGGAGUUCCGAUUUCAUCACUGCUUUCUACUUUCUUCCCAUUGAAAUUAAUUGAUUUAUUUGGAAACAACCGAAAUCUUUCUCUGCUAAGUUGUAUUGGAGCUGGGGUACUGAAAAAGUUCGAGGUCGCCGGAGAAUUUUCGAUUUAAGUUCCAUCCAUCAUCUCCGGUUGCGGUAUUUGGAAGUUCUGUUUCUCCUUAUGUAUUGGAGAAAAUUUUCAAGCCAUUGAAGGUUCACUCUUGUUCUUAUCCUCCGGUUCAAUAAUAUUUUUAUCUUUCAUGCUUUAAAUCCAUUCUUUGCCAUAUCUUAUUGUUUUGUUUGUUUUUUUGGUCAUUUAAGCUAGUUUACUCAGUAUUUGGGCAUGUUUAAAUUGUUUUAUUACUAUUAUAUUUUUGUUAUCUUGUUGCUAGAUGAACUAAGCUUUGUCACCAAUAAAAACUUUGGUAUAUUUCCUCAUUUAUUAUGUUACAUCGUAUAGUCACAAUUGCCAGGAACUAAUCAAACAAACAUAUGACGUUUUACUUUUCUUAACUUAUUUGCUUAUUUGUUGUGCCACAAUGGAUUGAUGAUUUAAGCAUGAACGUUGUGAUCAUCGUAUUUUAAGGUGUUAUCUUUUCCAAUUUGGAGUUUCGCCAAUUAUAAUUGGCUAUGAGAACUCAUAUAUUGAACGAAUAUCAUUAAAGUGUAGAAAAUGUUUUACUGUAUAACUAGUUUAGGAAAAAUAAUUCUUAAUUCGUAGCUUUCUUUAGGCGCGAUUAAAUAAAUUAUCGUGGCCAUGGGUAAGGUUCCUGUGGCAUGAUUACGAUACGUGAAUCUCAACUCGGGUGCGCAUUUAUGUGACCCAAAUCCAAAUCUCAAUAAUGUUAGAUAAAAUGUGUUGCGGACUGCGAGUGCAUUUAUGUGACGUGGUUCAAGACGUAUUUUAAAUGACGUUUGCAGUCUUCCUUAAAAUGAAUAAAAGCGGUUAUAAAACUAAAAUUGAACCAUAGGCUAAAACAUAUAUUAAAAUUAGAUAAUAGGCAAAUUAUAACAGUUGAGCGACCGUGCUAGAACCACGAAACUCGGGAAUGUCUAACACCUUCUCCCGGGUUAACAGAAUUCCUUACCCGGAUUUCUGUGUUCGCGGACUGUAAAACAGAGUCAAUUUUUUCCUCGAUUCGGGAUUUGAACCGGUGACUUGGGACACCAUAAAAUUAUCCCAAGUGUCGACUCUGAAUUUUUAAAUAAAUAAUACCAUUUCAAUUGUCACUUUAAGUUGGAAAAAACUCCCCCUUACACCCUUCCGGGGUGUAGGUAAAAAGGAGGUGUGACAGUAGUGACUGAAACCACCUGAGCUAGGCUAGUGAAAACUAAUAGAAUCUGAGCCAAGGCCUCCUGAAGACCCGAAAUCACAAUGGGCAUAGUUGGUGCCUGAGCUGGUGCUGCUGGAGCAUCCACAACUGGGACCUGAUCCUAAAUUGGGGCGGCUGGUGGAUCUGCAGGUGCUGCCCUAGUUGCUAUGCGGGCCACACCUCUGCCCUUACCGCAACCACGACCGCGUCCUCGGCCUCUAGUGGCCACAACUGGUGUUACUGGUGGUCGUCCAUCCUGACCGAUAGCGUGUGUCCUCACCAUCUGUGAGAGAAUACAAUGACAGAAGUUUAGUACUCGGAUCAACAAAUUCGCACGACAAGAAUUUCAAGAAUAUGAAGUGUUUCCUAGGCUCUGAUACUAACUUGUCAGGACCCCAAACCCAUACCCGGUCGUGAUGGCGCCUCUCGUGAAGACAAGGUCAGCCGACACAUUUCCAAUUCAGUUUUAAGCAAUUAAACAAUAAACAUUUAGUCUUAAACAUGAUAUAAAUCCAAAAGUAAGCGGUGAAUACAAAACAAUUUACGGAAUACAAUCCAACAUAGCCCGAUACCGGGGUGUCACUAUUCAUGAGCAUCUAUCAAAACACUACAAGUCUGAAAUGCCUACUAACUAUUACAAAAUAACUGAUAAAGAGAUAGAAAUGAGAUAAAGGGGGAGAAACACGGGAAUGCGGACGCCAAGCAGCUACCUCGUGGACUCCGAAGUUUGCCGGGAGGUCUCAACUCGCACUAGUAGGAUCAGGAACGCCUGAAUCUGUACGCAGGGUGCAGGGAGUAAAGUGAGUACUCCAACUCAGUGAGUAAUAAUCAUAAAUAAAUGACUAAGAGAUAUGAAAACACGUAAGGCACAUUAUAGGCUAUAAUGAAGCAGUAAAAGUGUUUCCUCACAAUAUAGGCCCUCGACCUUACUCAGUCAAAAUCCUCACAAGCCACUCGGGCAAUAGUAAACAUGAUUCUCAGCCCAAAAUAUUAUUUAAAAGAUCAUUUAAGUGUUAAAACAGGGUAAACAUGGAUGAGUUAUAAAAAUAGUGGAAUAUAGCAUGACUGAGUUCAAGUAUAAAGUCAAAACAGUGAUGAAAUAUCAAUAAAAAUCCCCUAAGAGUUUAAAUAGUUGGCACGAGGUCCAAAUAAGACAUUCAGCCCAAAACAUAAUGAUAGCAAAUAGAUUUCAGUCAAUUACGCAGUAAAAUAGUCAUUCAGGACGGACUAAGUCACAAUCCCCAACAGUGCACGACCCCACCCUCGUCAUCAAGCGUGUGCGUCACCCCAAUAUAGAACAGCGAUGUGCAAUCCGAGGUUUCAUACCCUCAGGACAUCAUUUACAAUUAUUACUCACCUCAAUCUGGUCCAAACUCUAGCCCGCGAUGCCUUUCCCCUCGAAUCGGCCUUCACUCACGUCGAAUCUAUCCAAAAUCAGAAUUACGGCAUCAAAAUAUGCAAUUUACAACAUAAAUCAAAAAAUUACCAAAACCCGAUCCCUGGGCCCACAUCACGGAUUCCGAUAAAAAUCACAUCAAAAAAGGAUUUCCUUAUCACUCCCCGAGUUCAUUUAUACCAAAAGCAUCAAAAUCUAACCACAAAUGACCCCUCAAAUCCCAAAUUCUAGGACUCCAAUUUCAAGCCCUAGUUCUUCAGAUUUAGGCUUAAUUCCCAUGAUUAAUUAGGUAGAUUUCACGUUAGAAUCAAGUUUUAAGUCCAUGAAUCUUACCUGCAAGUGAUUCCCCUUGAAUCCCUCUUCAAUUCUCUUCAAAAAGCUCCAAAAACGCUUAACAAUGGUAAAAAUCCAAAAUCGCGGACACGACGAAUAUUUAAACAUUCUGCCCAGGCCAUAAAUCCUUCUUCGCGAACGCGGUCCACGCCUCGCGUUCGCGAAGCACAAAAUAACUUUGACCAAAAAUUACUCUUCGCGAUCGCGACCUGCCCAUCGCGAAUGCGAUGGUUCCUCAGACAACUCUUCGCGAACGCGCUCCCUUACACGCGAACGCGAUGAACAAAACACCUCAAACCCCAGCUGACUAAUUUCCACUAUGCGAACGCAGUCCUCUUCGCACGAACGCGAUGACCAAUCACCCAGCCCUUCGCGAGCGCGAAGGCCAAAAUUCCAACCUUCACCAGCUAACCCUUCGCGAACGCGAGGGCCAACUCGCGAACGCGAAGGCCAUUUUCUCUGCAACAUUGUUCAGGAAUUUCUGUAAUUCCAAACAUUAUGAAAUGGUCCGAUUGACCACCCGAAACUCACCCGAGGCCCCCGGGACCUCAACCAAACAUGCCAAAAUAUCCCAUAACCUCAUUCAAACUUGUUCCAACCUUCGGAACGCUCAAAACAACAUCAAAACACCAAAUUUGCAUCGGAUUAAAGCCUAAGAAUUUCAAAAUCUUCUAAAUUACACUUUUGAUCAAAAACCCAACCAAACCACGUCCGAAUGACCUGAAAUUUUGCGCACAUAUCCUAAAUGACCCAACGGAACUACUGUAACUCUCGGAUUCCAUUUUGACCCCUAUAUCAAAAUCUCACCUAUCAACUGGAAAACACCAAAAAUUCAAUUUCGCCAAUUCAAGCCUAAAUCUACUCCGAACCUCCAAAACACAUUCUGAUCACACUCCUAAGUGCCAAAUCACCUCCCAAAGCUAUCUGAACCAUUGAAACGCACAUCCGAGCCCUCUAACUCAUAAGUCAAUAUCCGGUUGACUUUUCCAACUUAAGCUUCUUCAAAAGAGACUAAGUGCCUCAAACCUUGUCAAAACCUCUCCGAACCCGAGCCAACCAACCCGAUCACAUAUAGAACCGAUAGAAAAAGAAAUAAGAAGCAUAAAUGGAGAAAAAAGAACGGUAACUCAUGAGAUGACUGGCCGGGUCAUCACAGAAAAAAUCCGUACAAUAUUCUUGAGAAAGAUGGUACCGUACUCUCUCAAAAUUUGCAAUUCAUGCUUUAUCCCAUUGCUACGGAAUCAACGAACAACAUCAUUCAUAUUUGAUAUGGAAUAUUUGCUCUUUGAGGGAUUAAAUUUCGACCAGCUCCUCAAACUCAUCAUUGUCCAUGGAAUCGUUAUGGACCUUGGCAUCAAUGCAUCUGCGACCAGUCCCUCAAACGCAACUCUUUAAUUUUUGAUCUUUAGAUAUUAGGAAGUAAGACAUAGCACUAGUUGUUGGAAAAUUCUUAUAGUGGGUGUGGCCCACUUAUUAGAUGAGUAAGACAUUUAAUUCCCUAAAUUUGCCACCUAUUUAAGACUUAGAAGUCACUUUUAAAAUGAUGGGGAUGCUGCCACAUUUUUGGGAGGGCUAAGUUAUCUAAAAUCUUUAAUUAUCCAAAUUUUAGUUAAUCUCCCACUAACCAAUAAUAACCAAUUACCUACAUAAUUAAGAACUAUAUUAAAAUACUAUCCACUUUUAAUAUACCUUAUACACCUUACUAUCAUGGUCAUGUGGUACCUUGUAUGGUAAUAGUUCAUAAAUACCGAGUAUUAACGCGUGGCCCGAAUUCUAUCCCAACAUGCAAAACUUGGACGAGAAUUCAUUUUCUUUGACUUGCUUCCCCUCUCAUCAUCAUGAAUUUACUCAUCACUUGUUUGAAAUAGCAUAAUCCUUAUAAUCUCCAAAUAAUCUUUUCCUUGGACUGAUGUUAAUUACUUUACAAUAAAUUUAACGUACAAUACUACAUGGUGCAAUAUCAUAGUAAUUUAAUAAUGUGAAGCGUAACAUCAUCGUAAUGUAGUACUACAAGGCAUAACAUCAUCGUAAUAUAAUACUGUGGCACGUAAUAUUGACGUAAUAUUACAUCUUGUAACAUCAUUCCUCCCUUUGGAACAUUCAUCCUCGAAUGUUGAUUGAUGCUCUUAUCAUUUUCAUAACUUAUAGCUCUUGUGAAUACCUUAAUACUAUCCUUGCCAUUUAGGCAAUUGUUCUGUGAAUAAAUCCAAAGGCCAGGGCAUUCCAUCCCUUUAGGCCUCUUUCCCACGCCAUGACUUGUGAUUGAAUUCCUUCCAAUCUCGUAAUUGUUGCUACCUUCUAUCAUGCAGCCUCUACGAUACUGACUUUGUGAGUGUUCCUAUGCGACUCUCCUCUUCUUUUUCCCUACAACUUUUAGCCAAUCUCUAGGCCAUACUUUGUAAACAUAUACAAGGCUUAACAGGAUGCCUCUCUGGGCAUCUAUAGGUAUACUGAAGUUCUUUGCUUGGUACUUUGUAGAACUUGCGAAUAUGGCUAUAUCUUAUUUCAUAGAUCUGGUUAUCCAUUCGUAUGACUUUACUGCAUCUACGCAGGUCAUACUAUACCAUAAUUCUUACUUUGAUUUAUCGUUACUGAGGUUUGCAACCAACUCCAGGUUACUCUCGUUGCUUAUCCUUAAGACUGAUGGUUUAAUCUCAUCUCGUACUGUUGAACUUUUAUCCAUCUAUUAUUGAUUCAUUAUCCACCAUUGAUAACUUGAUCUUUUAUGUAACACCACUGCUAGGGCUCGCGUCUCAUCGGGGAUAUCAGGAGUAAUUAGAUUGAUCCUAGGGUGAUACUAUACUUCCAUAACCGUACUUUAUAGCAUCCCAAUGUGACUCACCUUAUAUGGGUAUUUUAGUCCCUUACAAUUCAUGAAAUCCUCUCCCCGCCCCUUUUUUUCUACUUCAAAUCAUUACACAAGUGAAGGCCCAAACGUCAUCCUUUAUUUAUCACAAUUACACCCUCAUUCUGCUACCAGGGCAGCAUUCUAGUUCUUCUAAAUGCCACUAGUCUUAGAUUUCUUUGAGUUCUUUCAGGCUAUAUUGAGCUUUCUAUAACUUAGAGGAACCAUCAUCUCCUUUGUUUUCACGGGAUUAAUCCUGAGGACUUAUCCAUUUUCAUCACCUUCUCCCCUACCUUCUUCUUAUCCUUAGUCUUGUCUUUCUAAAACCUUAUCGUUCUAUCAUACUUUAGCUUGCAAUCGAUUCCCUUAGGGAUAUCAAGCGAGACAUCGCAUCGGCUCUAACUCUUCUUUUAUUCUCUAAUUAGACCUUUCGAUACUUAGAAACCAUAGGCUGGAAGGUAUGUUACUGAUGACGCUGCUAUCAUCCCUGGCUACUGAAUCUCAGCGCUUCUAGUUUUUUACCUGAAGUAUGGACCACUCUCAUCCUUCUAUACUUGAGUAUUUCGUACAUUGUUCACAUUUACCUUACUUGCUUUAAAAUAUCACCUUACAUUCUUCUAUCUUUCUUUAUAACCUCCCUCCCACAUAGGUAUAAAUCACAUCCACCAUUUGAAGCUUUAUUAUAAUACUUGCACCUCUGGUGCCUAUACAAUCCGGUGGGAGCUCCAUACUGACUUCUUACGAGGCUGGUAUUUCUUCUAACUGGCUUUAUCGUAGAUUUGUUAUAGAAUAUAGUUGUUGUGCUAUCCCACUCGCGAACGCGAAGAACAACUAUCUACAACACUAUAUCAGAUUUUCUGCAAUCUUUUUCAACAUGAAAUAGUCCGUUUAACCACCCGAAACUCACCUGAGGCCCUCGGGACCACAACCAAACAUGCCAACCUAUCCCAUAACAUCAUUAAACUUGUUCCAACCUUCAGAACGCUCAAAACAACAUCAAAACACUAAAUUUGCAUCAGAUUCAAGCCUAAGAGUUACAAAUCUUCCAAAUUCUGCUUUAGAUCAAAAAGUCUAUCAAACCAUGCCCGAAUGACCUGAAAUUUUGCACACACAUCCCAAAUGACAAAACGGACCAACUGCAACUCUUGGAACUCCAUUUUGACCCCUAUAUAAAAAUCUCACCUACCAACCAAAAAAUGCCAAAAUUCCAAUUUCGCCAAUUCAAGCCUAAAUCUACUCCGCACCUCCAAAACACAUUCAGAUCAUGCUCCUAAGUCCCAAAUUACCUACCGAAGCUAUCCGAACCAUCGGAACUCACAUCUGAUCCCUUCAUCACAUAAGUUAACAACUGGUUGACUUUUCCAACUUAAGCAUACUCAAAAGAGUCUAAGUGACUCAAACCUUACCAAAAUCUCUCCAAACCCGAGCCAACCAACCUGAUAGCAUAAAAUACAGCUGAACAAGGCAAUAAGAAGUAGAAAUGGGGGGUAACAGAGUGGUAACUCAUGAAACGACCGGUCGGGUCAUUACAAUCACUCAGUUCCUAAUUCAUGUUUAGUUUACCUUGUUCACCAGUCCAUAAUGAUUUCUAUUACUCUGGGGUCUAACUUUUUCUUCUGUUAAUCACGUUAAAGUUGUGAACUUAUUUCUCAAAAUAAGGAUGUGAUUGUAUGGCCUAUACUCUUUUGUUGUCUUAAGGCCCAUCACCUUUCUUCUCUUUCUUCAUUUGACUAUAGAUUCUGUAACACUCUACUAUUGCCAUCCAUGUAUCACAUCUCACUCAUAAUGCUUCAUUAUCCCUCUUUGUACUUCCCUGCUAAUAAUUACGUCUAUCACUUUAUCUUGAAAACUUUAACAAGAUAUUUUUUUUGCUUUUACCUUCCCUUGCUCCAUCUACUGGCUCUUCGGGCUGCCUAAUAUUCUCCCUCUACUAAGGACUGGAGUCAUACUAAGAAAAUAUUUAUCCCUUCAAGGUUUCUAGUUCCUAUCUUUGUAGUACUCAUAUCUAGCUGUACUAUUUUAGUGUGCACCAUCUGGGUAUCUCACAAGAAGAUCUAUUAGCACAUUUGCAAUAUCCUUCGGAAAUGUCAACUAACGCAAAUAAUUCAUCCAUCAUUUUGGCUCACUCUAACCUCAGCCGAAUCAUGAUAUUAUGUCCUUCUCUUAAACCAUAUUUGUUAGCCCCCAUGGAGUAUAACUUAGAUCGGUGUGACCAAUUAUACAUAACUCUGUUGCUGUUGAAGGUAACUCAAAAUGCUUAUAUCCCUCUUCCUGAGUGGUAAAUAAGGAUAAUUUUUAUUAACUGUGUACCUCGUACCCUUCUUCACCUUUCUUCUUUUACUUGCUGCAACUUGUGUCUAACUUUUGAUUCUGUUGUUCCUUUUUACCGUAAGAGUGGAUAAGUAUUCUUUCCUAAAAGCUCCUUAUCAAGAACCGUACACCUUUUAGUAUAUGCAUGACCUGCUGAAGACCUCUCAUUUACUCAUCAUAAGCAAGAUGCGAAAUCGAGUUCCUCUAACUCAACACUUCCACAGCUAUAUCUUUUAUCGAUCGCCUUUCUGAAUAUAGGAAUCGUCUUAUCACGAAUAGAAGUUCAGGAUUGGAAUUCUUAUAAGUGAGCUCUACCACACGAUCUAGAGUAAGAAGAAAGAGUGACAGUCCUAAAUGCCCUGUAGCCUCCUGCUUAUAAGUGUGGUGCACAACACACCCAUAAAUAAGACUCUACUAGACACGGCUUGUAGACUCCCUAUGACAGAACUGCUCUGAUACCACUUUAGUCAUGCCCCAAACCUGGGGGCGAGAUCGGCACCCGAUACCUUACUCAACCGAGUACCAACAUAACGUAUUUUUUCAUGUCAUAUUAUCAUAGAUAAUUGAGCCGGAAGGCUUCUGUGAGAUAAGUAGAAUACAACAUGUGAUACCAACUUAUACAUAAGACAUACGGGCCUAUAAGACCAAAAUAACCACUCGUAUACCAAACAUAGGCCGACAAGGCCAUACAAGCUUUUACAUACAUGACAUCUGUCUACAAGCCUCUAAGAAUACAUAAUUUUCAUAAAGGUCGGGACAGAGUCCCGCCAUACUAGACAAUACACGUCUAAAUCAUACUAACUAAACAAGAAACUCCGAAGAAAAUGGAGUGCACCAACAUCUUCUGCUAAGCUGAUAGCCUACUUGGAGGGCUCUCGACCUGUCUAUUAGGAUCUGCGGGUAUGAAACACUGCGUCCCCAGGUAAAAGGUACGUCGGUAGGAAUAAUGUACCGAGUAUGUAAGGCACAUAAAUAAGUACAUAACAGACAUGAAAGAAAUAUAGAGUAAAUGACUUAACCAGCAAGUCUGGAUAACUCUGUAAAUCCUGAAAUACUUAUAGUGUAACGACCCGAUCGGUCGUUUUGAUCAUUUGCACUUUGCUCGCCAGUUCUCGGGCAUGACUAGCCCCGUAAGAUGUAUUAUAACUUAUGUAAAUCAUUGGUUUUGAUUUUCAGGUUAAUCGAAAUAGAUAUGGAAGAAUGAUUCUCAUCUUGAAGCUUUAAAUUUGAAAGGUUUGACCCAGUCUUGACUUUUUAGUAUUCGAUAUCAGAUUUGGAUUUUUAUGACUUGGUUAGCACCAUUGGGUGAUUUUGGACUUACGAACAUGUUCAGAAUGCAAUUUAGAGGUCCGUGGUAGAUUUAGGCUUGAAUUGGCGAAAUUAGAAAUUUGGCAUUUUCUGGUCGGCAGUAGAAAUCUUUAUAUCUGGUUCGGAAUGGAAUUCCAAAAAUUUUAGUAGGCUGAUUGUGUCAUUUGUGAUGUGUGAGCAAAAUUUUAGGUCAUUCGGAUGAGAUUUUAUAGGUUUUGGCAUCGUUUGCGGAAUUUGGAAGUUUGGAAAUCCUUAGACUUGAAUACAAGGGUGAUUUGAUGUUGUUUUGAGUGUCCCGAAGAUUGGAAUAAGUUUGAAUGAUAAUAGGUGACUUGUUGGCAUGUUUGGUUGAGGUCCCGAGGGCCUCGAGAUGGAUUUGAGUGGUUGAUGGGAUGUUUAGCUUUGAGUGUUGCUAUAGAUUUUGAUGCUUCUGUCAGUUUCGCACCUACGGAUUGGGUACUACAAGUGCGAGGUUGAAGAUGCGUGAGGAAGGCCGCAGAUGCAUUUUUGGAGUAGUUGAAGCUUGAUCAUAGGUGCGGCAAUUUUAUCGCACCAGCGGGGCCGCAAGUGCAGUGUUGUCAUCGCAGAAGCGGUUUCUGAGGGCAUAAGUGGGAACCGUACCUGUGAUGGAUUUUCUACAAGUGAGGUGUCGCAGAAGCGACAUUUUGACCGCAUAUGCGGUACCUCUAGGCAAAAAGUAUAAAUUGUGGACUUCGCGAAUUUUGGUUCAUUUUCCACCAUUUUUAGUCUGCUUUGGAGCUUUUCAGAGUGAUUUUGAGGAGGAAUUCAAGGGUUUAUCAGUAAGGUAAGUGGCUUGAGCCCUAGCACUCGUAUAUGUGAUGAUUUCCCAUUGUUGAAUCAUAUAAUUUAUGAAUAUUAGGGGUGAAAAUGAGGGGUUAGGUCUUGGGAUUUUUGGAGAGUUUGAUUGAGGAUUGAGGGGUCAAAUGGAGUCGGAUUUUGAUAAAUUUGGUAUGUAUGGACUCAUGCGAGGAUAAGGAUUCUAGUUUUGCAAUUUUUAUCGGAUUUCAAGACGUGGGCCCGGGGGUCGGGUUUGGCCAAUUUUGGGAAUUUUGAUUUAAUUUGAUAAUUUUUGCGUAGGCCUUGUUCCUUUAGCAUGUAUUGAUGAUAUGAUUAAGAUUGUGGAUAGAUUCAAAAUGAUUUGAGGCUGAGUCAAGCGGUAAGGGCAUCGCAAUGUAGAUUUUCGUCCGGUUUGAGGUAAGUAAUGAUUGUAAAUGUUGUUCUGAGGCUAUGAAACCUCGGAUUUUACAUCGUUUCACUACUUUGAGGUGACGCACAUGCUAGAUGACGAGCAUGGGGUCAUGCACUAUUGGGGAUUAUGACUUGGUCUGUCCCGUAUGACUAUUAUGUCGCAUAUUUGAUUGAAAACUAUUUGAUAUUAUUGUGUUUUGGAAAGCAUUACUAUGUUUUAGGCUAGAUGCCAUAUUUGGGCCACGUCCCAACUAUUUGGACCCUUAGGGUUUUUCUUUACUAAAACUCCUCACUGUUUUUAUUUAAUAAUUGUACGCAGUCAUGCUAUAUUCUACUAAUUUCAUAACUCAGUCUUAUUUACCCUAAUUUGAUGCAUAAAUGAUAUUUCGACUGAGCAUCCUAUUUUACGAUAGCCCGGGUGGCUUGAGAGGUUUCUGACUUAAUGAGGCCGAUGUCCUGUGUUGUGAGGAUAUCAUGGAAUUGGGCUGCGCGCCGCAACAUGUUGUACUGAUUUGUGAUAUAUGAGAAGACGAAGGCCUGAUUUAUUAUGCCACGAGGUGGCUUGUUAUGUGAGGCCGAUGGCCUGAUUUAUUAUGCCACGAGAUGACUUGUUAUAGCGUUUGGGCUGUAGGAGCUCCUCCGAAGUCUGAACACCCCUAGUGAGCGCGGGUACCCAGUGUGAGUGAUGUGAUGUUCCCCGAGGGGCUAUUUUUUAUUUAUGUUAUUGCCCGAGGGGGUUGAUUACGAGUGAUUGUGAGGUAGCCCGAGGGCUGGUUCUGUUGAUAUUUUGCCCGAAGGGCGGUUUAUGAUUCAUUUUGCCCGAGGGGCUAUAUACGAAUGAGUUUUUGCCUGAGGGGCCGACUAUGUUUUCAUCAUUUCUACUCACUGUUUCAUCACUUGUUUAAAAACUACUGAAAGAUGUUUUAAAUAGAUUUUAACACAUAUUCAAAUGAUUUCUACCAAAAACUGGACUUUUAAUGAAAUGAUUUGAUAUAUAUACUGUUUUGGAAACACAUUGUACUUACUGUAGUGUUAUGAUGUGGAUUAUGUAUUUUCUUACUGCUCAGUCUUUAUUUACUCUUAUUACUUACUGAGUUGGCGUACUCACAUUACUCCCUGCACCUUGUGUGUAGAUUCAGAUAUUACUGAACCCGGUAACGGGUGUUGAUUACUUAGUGGGAGGUUCAUCAAAGUUAACAAGGUAGCUGCCCAGCGUUCGCAGCCCUGCUCUUCUCCCUCUUAUCUUCCUUAGACUGUUUUUAGUAUAUUUUCAGACUCUUUGUUAUAUUCAGACCUUAGUAGAUGCUCAUGACUUGUGACACCCCAAUGUCGGGCUUGUGUUAUUUUCUUUUGCACUGGUUAUUUAGACUUAUGUUAUGAGAUUCUGUUAAUUUAAUAGCUUAAAAAUGACUUUUAUGAAAUACUGGUUUGAUUUGGGAUUUGUGUCGGUUGGACUAGUUUUAUGAUAGGCGCUAUCACGACCGGCUCAGUUUUAGGGUCGUGACAAGUUGGUAUCAGAGCCUAAGUUACAUAGGUCUCAUGAGUCAUGAGCGGGUUAGUAGAGUCUCGUGGAUCGGUACGAAGACGUCUUUACUUAUCUUCGAGAGGCUGCAGAACCUUUAGAAAAUCCCACAUUCUUGAAUUCUUAUCGUGCGUCAUUGAUUCAACCCUAAAUGUAACUCUUGAAAUUCCUUCCACGCAUUCGUAUGUGCCCGCUCGGUAUUAGUUGUGCAUCGAUGGCUUGUGAUUCCCUAAUCGAGGGGUGAGAUGUGACUUCUGUGUGUUGAUAUUGGGCCAGUUUAGAGAACUUGAGGCCGGGUUUUUCCAGUUGCUUGAGCACUGAGGUGUUGAUUGUGAGAGCAUGUACUUCUGGAUUUAUAUGUUCGGUAGUGUCCCUAUUAGUGGAAGUGAUGACUGGAUAGCUAUGUGAUGAAUAUGAUGUGACUGCGAGAUGUGUUCAUAUGAUUUGAAUGUGACGAGAAGGGUCUGCUUGAGAAUAGAAAGAACUAUUUGGUGCUUGAUUUCCAUCUUGAUUUGAUGUAUAGCCCUGAGUUAUGAGUGUGUGGAGGAUCUUUUCAUGUUGUCUAGUUGGGGGAGUGGAGUAGAUUUUAUGUUACGAUAUGAGUUCAGACUCAGGAAGAUUAAGUGACUGCGAGAUGUUUAUGAUAGUGGAAGUGUAUGAAGAGUUGUUAGUUUGAGGUGAUGCAGGUGGGUUAUCUCCUGUGGAGUGUUCUGAAGUUUGUGUGAUCCUUAUGUUGUUUGUUGGAAGACCUCUUUUACUAGUGAAAUAUAUGUGUUGCGAUUUGAAUUUGGAUCGCUUAAAAGAGUAGGCUUGACUGUUAUGAGGGUGAAUGCGAGAUUUGCAGAAGAUUUGAAUUACUAGAUGGCUUGUGUUGCACGAGCUUAUAAAGGAUUAAGUUUAAUCUCACUAUGGUAUUAUGGUGGUAUUAGAGUAUAGGCAUUGUGAGUUAUUGUGUGUUUUGAUCUAUGUCUUUGAGCCAAGUGGGGGAGUCUGCAAUUGAUCAGUUGGUUGCAAAGUUAUGUGCUAUGUUGAUUCCAAUUGGAGGCAUACUGGUGAAUCAGUUAUGGCUUACAGAGGUUAAGAUCGAGGAUGACUCGAGUAAAGGAAAUUUUGGAUAGGGGUUGUGUUAUGCUUUAUGGGUGUAUAAGAAUCAUGGAAUGACUUGAGUUGUUAUUGGUGAAGGACGUAAUGUGCAUGGAGCAGGAAAUUAUUUGGUUGUUUUAAGGUGGGAUUACUUUUUGGGGUGUUGGAGUGCUGAUGGAGCAGAGGUUGUUCGGUCCAUUUGAUCAGUCUAAUUGAGGUUUGAGUAGAGUGGAAGACUCCCCAGAAUGGUUUUAAAGGGUUCAAGAUUUACAUGUAGUAAUUGGAGAUCUUCACGAUGUAUAUUUGGCUAGAAACGAGGGUUCACAUUGGAGGGUGCCAAGACUUGUAGCAUAUCAUUGUGGAUUCUACAUAUCAGUAUUAGGAAGGUGAAAUUAAUGGAUUUAGAUUCACAGGAAGUCUCUUCAAGGUAAGUAUUUGAAAUGUGGUGCUUUUGGGGAUAUUUAAGAGAGUAUUCAGCAGCUUAUGAGCCUUAGACGAUGUGGUUUUAUGCAUAGGUCUCGUGUGGUGAGUCAGGGUUGAGGACUACGGUAUCAUGGCAAGGAGAAGUAUCAAUUAGAAGGUAAAUCAGAAGAAACUUGGAAUAAAUAGGGCAGCUUGGUAGUAGGUCAGAUCGACAUAGUAAGGGAUAUGAUUAGUUCUUUGGGUACUUAUGAGGUGAUGAGUUUCUACAGAUGUCUCGUGGCAAUGCUCUUGGGUUUUUGGUGAUCUGCGUAGCUUGGAUGAGCUAAAAGGAUUCAGUCCUGACGGUUUGGUUUUGUGCAAAUAGGAUUCAAAGAGUUCUUGAUGGUUUUCUACCAAAGUUAAAGAUGUAUAUUUUCUACUGGCAUGAAGAGCAGGUGAUGUAUAGUGAUUUUCUUCUAGAUAAGAUCAAAUGGUAAGUUCUUGGCUAGUCGAGUACUUAGUUGCUUGUGGCUCAGAAUGGAUUACAAAGUCCUCAUAUGACCUAGGAUGGCAUGGUAUAUGCGGUAUGUUGUGUAGGGUUGAGAUUGUAUGUGUAAGGUCACAAUUUAGUUCUGAAAGGAAGGUCAUAAAUUCUUAGGCAGCACAGGCAUUUUCAGAUGAUUAGGCAAAUGAUAUUGCUAAUUGGUGUGGCUUGAAGAGGGCAUACAUUUAAGAAAGGGCAAUGUGAUUAAGUUAAUAAUACAUCAUUAGUUUUGCAACACUCUCUUGUUUGAUCGACUGCUGAUAUUCGAGUUUGCUUGGUGGCACAGAAGAAUUUUAGGAGUAUCCCUCGUAGAAUGAUGGGUAUUAGAGGUGUGUUAUAUAUUCGAACGGUGUAAUUGGGAUCAGAUAUGGUGAUUUGUGUGCUAUAUGGAUUUUGGAGACCGGGAGUUCUCAUAAACAGGUUAUGUUGUGGUUGCGGGUCGCGUAUAUCGGCCUUGUGUUGUGACUAUCGGGGGUUUAGAGACCCGAGUGGAUCCUUUGUUGCUUAUUAUGUUACAUUUUAAUGUGAUAUUGGGUAUGGACUGGUUGUCUUCGUAUCGUGUUAUUCUGGACUGUUGCGCUAAGACGAUGACGUUGGCUAUGCCAGGGAUGCCUCAGAUUGAGUGGUGAGGUUCGACGAAUUAUGUUCCUAGUAGGGUGAUUUCAUUUUUGAAUACCCAGCGGAUGGUUGGGAAGGGUUGUAUUUCUUAUUUUUCCUUUGUUAGGGAUGUCAGUGCAGAGACUUCUACCAUUGAUCCAGUUCCGGUGGUGAGGGAUUUUUCAGAUGUGUUUCCUGCUGCCGGGCAUGCCACCAGAUAGGGUUGUUGAUUUCGGUAUUAAUUUGGUAUUGGGCACUAUAUCGUAUGGAACCGGCGAAGUUAAAGGAGUUGAAGGAGCAGCUUCAGGAACUCCUUGAUAAGGGGUUCAUUGGUAGGACAAUAUGGAUAUGUGUUCUAUAUCGAGUCGGCUUUGUUCACUACGAGUUGCUAUUGUUGUGGGAUGUGUUGAUUCGAUUGUUAUUGAGCUUAUUAGUGUUCUGGGGUGAUCUAUGAGUUACCUUUUUGUGUUGCGAGGCGUUAUGAUUUGUUGGUUGUAGGCACAUAUGGUAAAGUUCUAUUGGGGUCUCAUAGUGGAAUUCGAGCGAGAAGAGUAUUGGGUAUUGCUCAGUGGAUGGUGUAUCGGUUGUGUCCUUUCAGGUUUGUGUGGUGUUAUGUCAUUUGAUUUGUCGUGGUUAUGAUGAUUUUCUUUUGGUACUAGACAUUAAAUUGCGCGUGGUUGUUGAUUUUGAGCACAGUGACUUGAGAUGUUUCAUGUGGACCAGUGUUUGGAUAGGGUCGCGCAUUACAGCAAAGUUAUGUGGAGGUAUGAUCCUUUGGGUUAGAUUCAUGUGUUCUGGUUCUAUACUGUGUGAUGAUUCUCAGCAUUGUGUGGUGGUGGUACUGGUGAGCUUGCGGCACAGCUAUCUCAUUUGAGUCAUUUUUCCAUGAUUUUGAGUACAUUUGGAUUAUUGCUUAUUGGUGCGCGGGUCGCACGGGUUGUGGAUCUAGAUUCUAUCGAUGUGUCAUGUCACUAGAGUAGUCGUGUUGGAUGAGAUGAGGUCAUUGAGAUCUAGAAUGAAUACUAUCGCAUUCGAUUUCAGCAUGUUGGAAGGAUAAUAUCGGGAUUCAGCUUAGAAAAUUACUAUGGUCCUUGCCAAAGGAGAGGGAGUUUCUUGAAUGGUUGAUCUGAGGAAUGGUUACGACUUUUUGCAUGUUUCUUUCAUCAUUGGCAGUAUACAAAAGUGUUGGAAUGAGACUUUAUUUGAUAAGAGGUGUAUUAUCGUUAUUCGGUUGUUGUGUGCAACUGCCGUGAUUUGAAGUUAUCGCUACGAGUGAUUGAGUUAUGUGGUAUAUCAUGUAAUUGCAUCUAAGGCUACAAAUACGAUUUGUUACAGCUUUUUCAGACUUAUCUAGCGUAUAGAUGUGAGAUUCUGGUAUUAUAGAUAAGUUCGGAAAUGGAAAUUUGGUUCUAAGGUUCAUGGGCUUGGUUGGAUUGCAAAAUUUCAGUCAUGUUGCAUUAUCAGACCUAUAUAGGAUAGGAUGAUGUGGGAUCACCCCCGGGUAUGUGCAUGGUAAGAUUAUUUAGCGAUUUGUUGGCUUGUGGAACAACUCUGGGCACAUUCGAGGAUGAACGUAUGUUUAAGUGGGGGAGGAUGUAAUGACACGACUGGUCGUUUUAAGCAUUUUCACUUUGUUCGCUAGUUCUCGGUCAUGACUAGCCCUGUAAGAAGUAUUAUGACUUAUGUAAAUCGUCGAUUUUAGUUUUCAAGUUAAUCGGAAUAGAUAUGGAAGAAUGAUUCUCAACUUGAAGCUUUAAAUUUGAAAGGUUUAACAGUCUUAACUUUUUAGUGUUCGAUCUCGGAUUUGGAUUUUUACGAUUUGGUUAGCUCCGCUGGGUGAUUUUGGACUUAAGAGCGUAUUCGGAAUGCAAUUUGGAUGUUUGUGGUAGAUUUAGGCUUGAAUUGGCAAAAUUGAAAAUUUGGCAUUUUUUAGUCGGCAGUGGAAAUCUUGAUAUCAAGGUCGGAAUGGAAUUUUGAAAAUUUAAGUAGGUCUGUUGUGUCAUUUGUGACGUGUGUGCAAAAUUGCAGGUCAUUCGGAUGACCUUUGAUAGGUCUUGGCAUCGUUUGCGAAAUUCGGAAGUUUGGAAAUUCUUAAGCUUGAAUCUGAGGGUGAUUUGAUGUUUUGAUGUUGUUUUGAGUGUUCUAAGGUUGGAAUAAGUUUGAACGGUGAUAGGUGACUUGUUGGCAUGUCUGGUUCAAGUCCCGAGGGCCUCGGGAUGGAUUUGAGUGGUUGACGAGAAGUUUAGCUUUGAGUGUUGCUGUAGAUUUUGAUACUUCUGUCAUUUCUGCACCUGUAGAUUGGGGAUCGCAGGUGUGAGGUCGCAGAUGCAUGAGGAAGGCCACAGAUGCAUUUUUGGAACAGUUGAAGCUUGAUCGUAGGUGUGGCGAUUUUAUUGCACCAGCAGGGCUGCAGGUGUGAUGUUGUGUUCGCAUAAGCGGUGUCUGAGGGCAUAAGUGGGAACCGCACCUGUGAUGAAUUUUCCGUAGGUGCGGCGUCGCAAAAGUGACAUUUUGACCGCAGAUGGGGUACCUUUGGGCAAAAAGUAUAAAUUGUGGGCUUCGCGAAUUUUGGUUCAUUUUCUACCAUUUUUAGUCGGCUUUGGAGCUUUUGAGAUCGAGUUUGAGGAGGAAUUCAAGGGUUUAUUAGUAAGGUAAGUGGAUUGAGCCCUAAUACUCGUAUAUGUGAUGAUUUCCCGUUGAUUAAUCUUGUAAUUUAUGAAGAUUAGUGGUGAAAAUGAGGGGCUAGAGCUUGGGAUUUUUGGAGAGUUGGAUUGAGGACUUGAGGGGUUAAAUGGAGUUGGAUUUUGAUAAAUUUGAUAUGUAUAGACUCGUGAGAGGACAAGGAUUCUAGUUUUGUGAUUUUUAUCGGAUUCUGAGAUGUGGGCCCGGGGUCGGGUUUGGCCAAUUUCGGGAAUUUUGAUUUAAUUUGAUAAUUUUCAUGUGGGCCUUGUUCAUUUAGCAUGUAUUGAUGAUAUGAUUCUGAUUUUGGAUAGAUUCGGGAUGAUUUGAGGCCGAGUCGAGCGGCAAGGGCAUCGCGGUGUAGAUUUUAAUCCGGUUAGAGGUAAGUAAUGAUUGUAAAUGUUGUCCUGAGGGUAUGAAACACCGGAUUUCACAUUGUUUCACUACUUUGAGGUAACGCACACGCUAGAUGACGAGCGUGAGGUCGUACACCGUUGGAGAUUGUGACUUGGUCUGUCUUGUACGACUAUUAUUUCGCGUAUUUGAUUGAAAACUAUUUGAUACUAUUGUGUUUUGGAAAGCAUUACUAUGUUUUGGACUGGAUGCCAUAUUUGAGCCUCAUGCCAACUGUUUGGACCCUUAGGGGUUUUCUUUACUGAAAUUCCUCACUAUUUUGAUUCAAUAACUAUACACAAUCAUGUUAUGUUCUACUGAUUUUAUAACUCAGUCUUAUUUACCCUAAUUUGGUGCAUAAAUGAUAUUUCGACUGAGCAUCUUGUGUUACUGUAGCCCGAGUGGCUUUAGAGAUUUCUGACUGAGUGAGGCCAAGGGACUGUGUUGUGAGGAUAUCAUGGAAUUGGGUUGUGCGCCACAACAUCUUGUACUAAUUUGUGAUAUAUGAGAGGCCGAGGGCCUGAUUUAUUAUGCCAUGAUGUGGCUUGUUAUGUGAGGCCGAGGGUCUGAUUUAUUAUGCCACGAGAUGGCUUGUUAUAGAGCUUGGGCUGUAGGAGCCCCUUCGGAGUUUGAACGCCCCCGGUGAGUGCGGGUACGUAGUGUGAUUUGAUAUAUAUACUGUUUUGGAAACACACUGUACUUACUGGGGUGUUAUGACAUGGAUUAUGUGUUUUCUUACUGCUCAGUCUUUAUUUACUCUUAUUGCUUAAUGAGUUGACGUAUUCACAUUACUCCCUGCACCUUGUGUGUAUAUUCAGGUAUUUCUGAAUCCGGUAGCAGGUGUUGAUUACUUAGUGGCAGGUUCAUCGGAGUUACCAAGGUAGCUGCUCGGUGUUCCUAGCCCUGCUCUUCUCCCUCUUAUCUUCCUUAGACUAUUUUUAGUAUAUUUUCAGACUCUUCGUUGUAUUCAUACCUUUGUAGAUGCUCGUGACUUGUAACACCCCGAUGUCGGGCUUGUGUUAUUUUCUUC